GAUGAAGAACGUAGCGAAAUGCGAUACUUGGUGUGAAUUGCAGAAUCCCGUGAACCAUCGAGUCUUUGAACGCAAGUUGCGCCCGAAGCCGUCAGGCCGAGGGCACGCCUGCCUGGGCGUCACACGCCGUUGCCCCCCCGCGCCCCGCACCCAACUCUUUGGGAGCGACCGCGGGGCGGGCUGAUGAUGGCCUCCCGUGCGCUCCGCCGCGCGGUUGGCCCAAAUACCGAGUCCCCGGCGACGUGCGCCACGACGAUCGGUAGUUGAGAGACCUCUGUCGCAAGUCGUGCGCGCCCGUCGCGUCACGCGGGCUCGCAUAGCGCCUCGCGCCGCACCCGGUGCGGAGCUUUCAACGCGACCCCAGGUCAGGCGGGGUUACCCGCUGAAUUUAAGCAUAUCAAUAAGCGGAGGA
rnacentral:misc_RNA from 1 species